CACAAGCGGUGGAGCAUGUGGUUUAAUUCGAUGCAACGCGAAGAACCUUACCAGGUCUUGACAUCCUCGGAACUUGGCAGAGAUGCCUUGGUGCCUUCGGGAGCCGAGUGACAGGUGCUGCAUGGCCGUCGUCAGCUCGUGUCGUGAGAUGUUGGGUUAAGUCCCGUAACGAGCGCAACCCUUGUCCUUAGUUGCCAGCACGUCAUGGUGGGAACUCUAGGGAGACUGCCGGUGACAAACCGGAGGAAGGUGGGGACGACGUCAGGUCAUCAUGGCCCUUACGACCUGGGCUACACACGUGCUACAAUGGCUGGUACAGAGGGUUGCUAAGUCGCGAGGCGGAGCUAAUCCCUUAAAGCCAGUCGUAGUCCGGAUCGGAGUCUGCAACUCGACUCCGUGAAGUCGGAAUCGCUAGUAAUCGCGGAUCAGAAUGCCGCGGUGAAUACGUUCCCGGACCUUGUACACACCGCCCGUCACACCAUGGGAGUGGAUUGCACCAGAAGUGGCUAGUCUAACUACGGAGGACGGUCACCACGGUGUGGUUCAUGACUGGGGUGAAGUCGUAACAAGGUAGCCGUAGGGGAACCUGCGGCUGGAUCACCUCCUUAA
rnacentral:rRNA from 1 species